ensembl:lncRNA
UCACCAACCAGGAAAGGAUGUCAGAGACACCGAUGCAAAACCAUGGGACCCUAUAUUACCAGUUUGAAGAAGACCUGUCGCAGAUGGCUUUGCAUCUGAUCAGAACCAACAACCCUGAACUGGCGGUAAGAAAACCAAUGAAAGGCCCAGAAAAAGAAUCCAAUUAUUCACAUGAUGCUACAUGAUGUUUUCGUCCUUUGUUUACUUUCUAGAUUACAGAGAGGUUAGAACAAUUAGUUCAGCAGAACCAAAUACAAAUCCACGAAGAAACUCCAGCUAAGUUCUUGGAGCUUAUUGAGCUUUCUCGUGCAGCAACUCAUGAAAAUCUGGAAUCUGUUUGGAAGCAGUGUGCCAAAAGGCAGCAAUACAGGUAACUGCUUUAUUUGUUUUAUGUUGUGUUGCUUUCUUUCUUUUUGGACUCACACUUUAAAUUGGCACAGCCACACCCAGAUAUGAAGGUAGACCCUUCUUUAAUCUGUGGAUCCUCUGGUAGCCGGCAGUGGGGGUUACUUUUCAAAUUUCCAACAUUUGGUAGCCACACUACAUCAUGGAAUGCACAAUUUCCCCUUUUAAAAAUAAUCUGCAAAUACAAAAAGAAAAAAAAGCGAGAGACAGAGAGAAAUAGGUAAGAGAAUAUAGAAUGUAUUUAUGGGCUAAGAACAGAUGUUAAUAUAAGCUGAACAUACAUCCAAAACAUUUCCUUGGCUGUGUAUUCAUAAUUACAUAGUCAUAAAAUGUUCUUGCCAUUCGAAACUGUAUGGAGAAAACCUGUUCUUCCAACCUUCAAGUAUGUUUUGUCACUUCAUUAAGGGUCCACAGGAUCCGACCAUCCUGUCUAUCAGUUAUCUCCCAACCAACCCUUCUCUUUACAGGUAUUGGCUACUGAGUGCCGUUGCUGUUGCAGGCACCUCAGACACACUGGCAUUCCUGAAACAAAGAAUUCUCAGUGAGGACCUAAACGUCUUGGAGUCAGCGAUCACUCUCACUUUGGCCUUCCAUUUAACAAAAACUGAUAAGCUUACCUUCAAAGUAGCAGCAGAACUACUGACCAGCCAGGCUGUCCGAAAGUCCUUGAUACUUCACAAACUUUGCUUAUUUUGGCAUAUGGUUCCAUGAUAAACAGGCAUUGUUGGUGCCUUCGUCCAAUUUGCCCUACUGAAAUCUCAGGUAAUAUCCUGUUUCUGGGUGCACAAAAUGUUGCCAAUGCAUUUCUGACUAGUUAAUUAUGUCAUUAUUAAGUCUUCUCAUCAACGACAAGUCUAACCCUGCAAGGAGCCCAAUUCGAUAUGCAUGGUGACAUCUCUUCCUUGGAUGAGACAAUUUGUUUGCUUUUUAACCAUCUGCCCAAAACCCUCAACCUUUUAAAGUUAUGCUUUUCAUGAAAUAAAAUCUGUGCCAAAGUUUCCCAUCCAAGACUCUCUCUGUCAACACUGUUUCAUUCUCAUAUAUUUCCAGAUGACAAGAAAUUCUGAAGCUAGUGCUAUCAAGAUGAGUUUCUUUUGUCAAACUUUGCUUUUGUAGGAGACGUGUCCUGUCAGUAAAAGAACAGAUCCUUUAAAGCUUAGGAGAUUGAGAAUUUGUGGGAAAUGAAAAAGGAUUUCAGGGGCUAUCACUGGAAACCUUCUCCAGGUGUUCCCGCUCCCAUGAUUUCAUUUAACCCCACAACACUACUGCUUCCUAGUUUCCCAGCUUUUGUAAUCCCCCUCCCUAAUGCAUCAUCGAAUGUUUGGGGGCCUAAAUAUCCUAAAGGUACCUGAUCCUGUCAGAUAUUGAAAGCUGAGGAAGAUGGUCUCUGGUUAUUACUUGGAUGGGAGACCACCAAGAAAUACCAGGUUAUUGUAGGACAUAUUUCAGAGCAAGAACAAGAAAUUAGUAAAAAUCACCUCUGAGUAUUCUUGCCUACGAAAGCCCUACGAAAUUUGUGGAGUCACUAUAUGUUAACAGGCACGUUUUUUUUUUAACUAGGGAUGAAGGACAGAUGUUGGCAUGGGUGUGAACAAAGAGGGGUGUUUAAUCACAUGAUAUGGGAUGCGAUCGAGUGCAAGAAUACUGGAGAAUGAUUGAAGGAGAAAUCAAUAGAAUGCUAAAUCUACAAAUAGUAAUAGUUAAUAGAAAUGUUUUACAUGCAAGGAUAACAGAAGUGAAGAAUAUACAAAAAGAAAAAAUGGUUGACAAAUGAAUAGCAUGUGCACAAAUUGUUUUAGUGAGGGGUUGGAAAGAUAAAGCAAAAUGGACUCUGACGAAUUGGUAUAAGUAUCAACAUAUAGUUGAUAUGUUAAAUAUGGAAAUAACAAAUUGCAAAUGGAACAAUAUAGAUAAAUUUGAAAAGACUGCAAUAAUCAAGGGGAUUCGGGAACCAGUUAAGAAUUAUUUAGAGAAUGUGCUAAGAUGUGGAGUGGAAAAAUUAAGACUGAGAUUGAUAUUUCAAAUGAAACUUCUGUAGUUUGUUGUAUAAAUUGCAUGUACAAGGAGGGGAGGUUGGGAGUGGGAUAAAAUAAUAAAACAUUUUUUUUAAAGGCAGGCAGUUUGAAAGCACAUACACACACAAAGGUUGAAUGUUGUUUUUGAUCCUGCUCAUGUGCCUUUGUCUCCCUUCACCACUAGAGUGCAGCCUUUAGAACUUUUCCAAAACUGAAUUUAUCCCUCAAGGUCAAAGAGUUUCCUUAACUUUCAUUUGAAAUAUUAUGAAGUUUCUUUAAUCAAAUACCCUGAUCACUUCAGCAAAACCAUGUUGAUAGAUGAGAAAGCAAAGUGAUGAGGCUUGCUAUAAAAUUUUUGAAUAGGAUUAUUUUCCGAGUAGGGACUGACUCAUUGGGAUGCUUAAUGGAUUGAACCUUUGCAAAUUUUGAUAUGAACUGAAUUGCCUGUACCUCUACUUUGUAGACCGCAAUACACAUAUAUACCACUGGUCUAGUUCCACCAUUGCUAAAUAAUUCAAGGUUUUUUUUAAUGAUUUCUCCAUAAAUGGGUCAGAAAUAACUUUAGAUGCGAAAAGUUCAGAUGCCUCCAAACUACCCUGCAAUUGCUUUUUGCCACCAUAGCCGUAUUGUGUAUUCACUUCCUGAACAACAACAUUUAGAGCUUUGAGGCCAGAAAAGCUCAUCUGUCUGCCUUGGGUACUUUAUGAUGAAGUGAAUGUAGAACAUACACACAAAAGGGAGGUGGGAAAGGAAAUCUGAUCUGGGUGGGACAGAUGAUGGAACAUUGGCAAAAAAGAACAACUUUCAGUGUUUGUUUAAAACUUCACUCCCCAGAAAAUGGUGUGUUUCUGACAUCUGUGUAUCUAUAAAACAGAGAUUCUUCUCGAAUGUGUGUGUAUUACUGGGCACAGUUACAGUGUUGGACCAGGAUGUGGGAGCUGCAGUUUGGGGUCCCUACUGAACCAUACAAUUCCUUGGGUCACGUUGGGCCAAUAACAGUCUCUCAAAUGGACUUACCUCAGAGGACUGAUGUAAGGAUAAGUAGAGAGGAUCAUGGUGUAUUGGAGGAAUGACAAGACAUAAAAGGCAAGAGUAAUAUAUAAUAAAAAUUAUAGAAAAGAUAGUCACAUUAUUGACUGACUUUUGAUACUGAUUGUGUUUUUUCAGCCUCUCCAUGAUCUUGCCAUGGGGGCCUAUAAGAGCCACGAGGAAAAUGCAGCUCUGGCUCUGAAAGCCAUGGGCAAUGCUGGAGAACCUGCCAGCAUCAACUACAUCAAGAAAUUCCUGCCAGGAUUUUCAACUAAUGCUAAUGACCUGCCAGCGAGACUCCAGAGAAUUGCAAUCCAGUCCUUGAGGAAAAUAUCAAGAAAAAAAGCUGCAACAGUAAGCAAAGUCAUUCAUUGUUAAAUCAAAAAUUGUACACAGCCAAUGGAAUCCAAGACAUUAGCUGUAAAGAAAGUGGUUUGAUGCAGGGGAAUGGGCAAGAUCUAGGACUCAUAGAAACCAUCCACAACGCAAAUGAUUUUGCUAAACAUAUAUCAGUUUAUUUAAUAAAGAUUCCAGUCCUUAUAGUUUUAUUUUGGAUUUUCAAAGGCAGUUGCAACUGAUGGCUCCCAACUCAAUGGAGCUGUAAAUUUACUCCAAACUUUAGCCUCAAUAUGAAGUUGUUGAUCCUAUUUUGGGGAUGGGGAUCAGCAUGUAGAACAGUUCCUUUUAACUUCUUUAAAGUUUAGAUCUAAAUCAGAAUCAGAUUCACUCUGGAGUGGCAUGGAGGCCACCCAGCUGCUGUUUGCCCAAAGGCUCAAAAGCCAGUUUUUUUCAUUGCAAAUAUUGCAUGGCAUUUUCAUGAUCUCUUUCCUAUACCCAGGGAAAAGAAACUGCAAUCACCCUAUUGCUAUAAUAGCAUUCCUGUUCACAUAUACACUUGAAAAUUAUUAACUGCAUUUGAAGUGUCAAGUCAUUCAUGGAUAACUACAACAGCAAUACAGUAGAGUCUCACUUAUCCAAGCUAAACGGGCCGGUAGAAGCUUGGAUAAGCGAAUAUCUUGGAUAAUAAGGAGGGAUUAAGGAAAAGCCUAUUAAACAUCAAAUUAGGUUAUGAUUUUACAAAUUAAACACCAAAACAUCAUGUG